rnacentral:lncRNA from 1 species
AUGCUGGUUAUGAUCAAAUUAAACAACAUCCGCGGACUCAUUUUUUUUUUUUUUUUACUCCCGAAAAUUCCGGAGCCAAGAACCUACCACGUUAUAACAAAUACUGCGGUAUAUCGAGUAGUAUUAUAAGGGGUUUCGAAUGUACAUUGUACUGAAGUAACUGAUCAAUAUAUUUUCAAACAAUUUCAGAAAUGACAAUCACAUUUGGUAAUUGUUUUACAAAUAAAAUGUCAGGUCUGAACUGAUGCAAGGCCUAAAAAAAAAAUGUCUGUUUCCUGUAACCCGACCGACCGUACGUUUUAACCACCGACCGCAUUUUUUUUACGGGCCUAAAUACAGGGUUCUCAUACCUACAUCAAUUUAAGCAGUAAUUUAGUGGUAUCCGACCAUGCGCCCAUAGUAACAAAUGUUUCCACUUCUGCCGAGGAUGAAUCAACAUGGCGAAAAGCUUAUUUGCAGUCACUAUCACCUGUCCAAAGAUGGACAACAAAAUAAUAAAGGUGGUUGUGCCAGUCGAUCACAAUCAAAGAGUAGACGCCUUCUAUUCCUUCGUACAUAAAGACAAGCCAUGCCCAAAAAUACACUGCUAACUGCUCGACUAACAUUGAAGGAGAUAGAGCUUUUGAAGUGUCCCCGGACCUGAUUUUAGCAGACUUGAAGACUGUUGGGGACAUGAGGGCAGUGACAUACCAGUGUGCAAAAGAACCUGAUGAAAUACCUUUGGAGUCUGGAAAAAGCUCUGCUGCUGUCGUUAAUGCUUUUUAUAUCCUCAUGGAUGGAGAAAAGGUCAACAUUAAACAGAAGACAACCUGUCACAACAUGAAGAAUGAGCUAUACAAUGAUAUGGUCAAGCUCAUGACACAGCAGAACCUCAAAAUGCACAUAUGGAGUGUUUCAGAUUAAUGAGAAUAUGUAGUUCAGGUGAUCACUAGUGCUCUUUGGUGUCUGACAAAUCACCAUCUUACCAUAAAUGAUGCAGCCAAAACAUCUAGAGAUGCCAUACCAGUGCCAGAGCUGUUUGAAAAAUUCCAAGGAUAUAAUGAUUUUAAAAGAAAUUAAACUGAAAAGUCAGCCCAUUUUACAAGAAUUGUGACAGUCAUGCAAAUGCUUUAAUGAAUAUUGUAACAAGGCCUGUUUUCCACAGUGAUGUACAUUGGCAGCAGUUCAAGGAAGAUAUUGACAAUCUUGCAAGCUGUUUUGCUCACUAUAAAAUGUAUUUAGAGAAUAGAUUAAAAAAUCAAACUCUCAGACAGGGUCUGUUAAACCCCCCUAGAACUGUUGGAAAUGACAUUUCUGUAGAAUUUCGGGCCAAAACUCCUUAUGUGUAUGAGAAAUACAAGUUGUUUGAUGAGGAAAUAAAAAAUUGUGACUUUU